CUCCUCGCCAGCCACAGUCUCCGGGGCUCCGGCAGCUGCUCCAGCCCGUCCUCCCCACCGUGGCUGGGGCCCGAUCCCACCCUGACCACUCCGGUGGCCUCAAGCUGCCCCUGCCCUGCAAGGGUCUCAGGCGGAGGGAAGGAGGUUAAGACGGGGGCAGGACUGACGGACAGAAAGAAAGAAUGGCAGGAGAAAGCAACACUAAGGCAGAUGAUGGCCUGUGGGGCGGAGACGGGACUGAUUCCUCAAGGAUUCAUGUGCCGCAGAGGCCCAGAAGCAACGACAGCUCAGAGCCACAGCACCAGGCCCAUGACAGCUCUGAACCCCACGCCCAGGGCUGGGGCAGGAAAUACAUGGACACCUGGUCACACCAGAGAGCAGGGCGCUAACGAACGACAGGUGUCACACUCAAAGGACCCGGGAGCCACACUGCCCAACGAGGACGGCACACCGAGAAUACACAGACCCUAAAAACAAAGACAGAAAAACACCUCUGUAGCCGUCUUUGGCGUUUUCCAAGGCACCAGCUUGUUAUUUAAAAAAUCAACAAAUGAAAGGAAAGAAAGUAUUUAUCACACCUCUCCUGUAUAAAAUCUUAUUUUAGGAUUAAAAAAA